rnacentral:lncRNA from 1 species
CAGCGGCAGGAAGUCACCCAGGAGGCCCCUCCGCCCCCACCAGAGCCACAGGGGAGCGGCCCCCUCCCGCAGCGCCAACCGGAAAGAAAUCUCCGGGAGGGGUCACCCCACAGCCUGCCCUGCACCUGGAGGGCAUGUCGCCGGAAAGGGAGCCCAGCCCCUCAAAGCCGUGGGGCUGGGCCUGCACGAGGCUCCCUGGAAGCCAUCCCUGGGAUACCUCUGUGCCAGACAAUUCCGGCUCCUGCUGCAGAGCUCCACUGAAACGUCACUGCUUGAAAAGGUCCUCCGUGACCCCCACAGCCUGGGUCAGGGUCCUGCUGUGUGCUCCCCAGACGUCCCUGAGCUAGCUGGGUUCCCCCCAAAAGUGGAGCUUGAGGCUGGGAGAGCGAGAGAGAGAGCAAGCGACCACACAUGCAGCGGGAGCAGCAGAGGGAGAGAGAGAAGCAGGGGGCCCCACGUGGGACUCGAUCCAGCUUCUGAAACUGAAAUGGAACAGAAGAUGAAGAUCUUCCCAGAAGGAGGGCGUUUUGACCCCACGACCUUUUUGUCCUCUGUUUUCUUCCCAGUCACCCGAACAGUUUAAGGUUUCCCCCAUUGCACGCGCAUGCACACACACACACGCACACGCACAGAGGGUGCUGGAGGAAGGCUCCUCUCCCAGGAGUCCCCCUGCGUCCCCAUGACAUCCCCAGAAGGGUAGGAGGGACCACACACCCCACAGGAUCUGACGGCUUCAGACACUGACUCAGCAUCGCACAAGAAAGAGGUGGGAUGUGCAUCCCCAACCCAGAGCCAGCUCCCUGCCUCCUGCAUGUCACCUGGGCUCCCCUCCGGCUCCGAGACCCUCUCUGCAGAGCUUCAGUCCAACAACAUCCAACACCAUUGAUCCUGCCGGCUGUGUGCCAGGCCUCCACGGCGUCCUCCCGCCCCGUGCCAUCUGAUGACAUCUGUACGUCUCCCUGGGGGUCCUGCAGCUGGUCGUUUAACGUCCAUGCUGCGGGCCCAGCCAGACACGGUCUCAGAGGGAUCCUAAUAUAGCUCCCGGUUAGUAGAUGCCAAUGUUUCAGGAAAAGUGCAUGAAAUUGAAACUUAAGACCAAGAAAACUCUAACCGCCAGAGCUGGAAGGCUCUUGGGUCUCUGCUUUCUGGGAGCCAUCCCUGUGACACACAGUAGGUUCUGGAAGAAAGCCCGCUGACCCAGCGAAUGAGCGAGGGAACGGAAACCCCGAAGGCAGGUCGUGCGUUACUGGAAUUCGUGGUGCUGCUCGGGCCAAGGCACUAAGAUGGCGGACGUGACGUGCAAGGACACAUCCGGCUGGCGGCCGGCACCCACCGCACCAGCCAGGUGCUGCCAGCUGGGAGGAGUGGACCAAACCGACGCUCACUGGUGUUGGCAGGGCGCGGGAGCCCCGGGGCCACCCCAGAACCGGCUGCCGCAUUUACUAGGUCUCAGAGGGCAGAGAAGGCGGCGCGGGAAGCACUCUGAUGCCACAGGUGCCACCUAAAUGGCUAAGAGCACCAGGGCCCAGCCUCCCCCAAGUCCUUGAACACGGAAUUCAGCUAUUGUACCAGAAGGGUCCAUCCGCAUCCUCUCCUAUGUCCCACCCUCUCCCUGGGUGACCGAUCCCCCACUGUCCUGAGCUGAUGGCCUGAGUUCACCUGGAGGCGGACGCUGACACCCCCGAGGGGCCCACUGAGAGCUGGCUGCCGGGACAAGCGCCCGGACGGGGUGGCCUUGGUGGCCUCGAUCUGCCCCUGGCUAGCGGAGAUGCGCACCGAUGCAGGCCCCCCGCCCGCCACCCACUGGCCCAACCCCGAGGGCAGAGCCAGCUCCCUCCCUCUGUUAGCUCCUCACCCCAAGUCACCGCCAAGCCCUGACAGCAUAACCUCCCUCCGACGUCCCUUCCAGCAGCGCCUGGAGCCAGGCCCCUCUGCAGCGUGGGCUCCCCCAGGGGGUGCCCCCCAGGGAAGUGUUCCCAGGUGGGAUGUCUGUGCCUCCUGGCCCACGGGAGGCCCCGCGGCCCCCAGCCGGCAUGCACAGCUCCCACCCUCUGCUUUGCACUUUAUUCUUCAAAGAUGAAAGGCGUCCCCUCCGUGCAUGGCAUGUCCCCACCUCCCCCGCCACUGGCCACGCUAGCCUGCUUCCUCCUCACUCUUCAAGAUGCCUCCCUGGGGUCACCACCUCAGGACACCGUCCUGACUGCUGAACCCCGGGCCACCCGUCCGCCAGGGCUUGCGGUGUCUCCGGUCCCCGUGGCAUGCACCUGCCCCGCGGAAGGGGCACUUACACCUGGGUAGCCCGGGAGCCGCCAUGCCCUCUGAGACAGAGAAGACUGAUUCCUCUGUAGCCCCGGCACCCGGCCUGUCCCUCAGUCGAUGCUCGGGAAAUAUUUGCUGAACUGCGAGCAAACCUGAUGAAUAUUUACACUGUACUACAUGCCCACGGCUCUGCCUGGCACCUCAAACGCCUAUUCCGGGGAAAGUGCGACGAGACUUCCCGGGAAGGGCUCGUGCUCGAGCUUACAAAGCUCCCAUGUAUGGGGGUCGGCCCCAGUUGGCCCCCCGCCCCCGUGUGGGGCUCAGGGGAGGAGCCCCCCAGGGCUGGGCCAGCGUCACCACGCCGCCUGUGGCCCGGCAGCCGCCGCGGCUUUGGUGGUUUCUGCAGGCGGAUGUGAAUGUGUAAGGCCCACGGAGAAGCAGGGCGGCGUCUCCUCCAAGGCUGGCGGCCGGGCAGCUCCUUGGACUGGGCUCUGUGGACCUGGCCUGACGGGCCUAACCCCUCCUCAUGCUGCUUUCCCCCAGUCCCAUACAUGAGGGAGCUCUUGCCUUGGCCGGCCGGGGCUCCCGGGCUGAGUGGGGCGACGGCGGGGGGGGGCAGGGCCACGGCCUGCCCCCCAGUUUUGCUUCCACUGGACGCGUGUGGUCUGGGGCUUCUCAGGCCUCUCUCGGUGUCCCCAUCUGUCAAGUGAGGACAGUAGCCCACGGGGGCCUUACGAGCAUGAAUGAAUGUGGACAGACGGCUUUGCAAAGGGACAGCUUCUUGUUUGCAAGAUAGGGUUAUUAUUGCACAGGCGCCCAACAAGAGGGCUGGAGGGACUGCGGGGUGGGGUGGGGGGUGCGGGGAGGCCACGCCCGGCAGGGCCCUGUCCCCGUCACACCAGAGUGGGUGGGCAGGGUCUGUCAGCAAAACCGCUCCACGGGGGCUGGGGCUUGCUGUCAGAACUGCCCCGUGCCCACCCCUCGAGCAUCAUCUCAUGGGGCCAGGAGGGAGUCACACGGCCUGCCCCACUCUGAGGGUCCAGCUGCCCCGUUGAUUGUCACCUGGUGUCAGCCAGAAGCCCGUCUCCCCUGCUCCAGGGACAACCCUUGGGUGCCACACAUCGCUACACCUCGCGUGAGGUGUCUAACCACAAAGAGAAAAGUGCACCGAUCACAUCGCAAAGUAAGCACCGCCAGGAAGGGACACAGAAC